rnacentral:rRNA from 1 species
CACGUAGGGUGCGAGCGUUGUCCGGAAUUAUUGGGCGUAAAGAGCUCGUAGGCGGUUUGUCACGUCGGGAGUGAAAACUCGGGGCUUAACCCCGAGCCUGCUUCCGAUACGGGCAGACUAGAGGUAUGCAGGGGAGAACGGAAUUCCUGGUGUAGCGGUGAAAUGCGCAGAUAUCAGGAGGAACACCGGUGGCGAAGGCGGUUCUCUGGGCAUUACCUGACGCUGAGGAGCGAAAGUGUGGGGAGCGAACAGG